UAGGGAAUCUUCGGCAAUGGACGAAAGUCUGACCGAGCAACGCCGCGUGAGUGAAGAAGGUUUUCGGAUCGUAAAACUCUGUUGUUAGAGAAGAACAAGGACGUUAGUAACUGAACGUCCCCUGACGGUAUCUAACCAGAAAGCCACGGCUAACUACGUGCCAGCAGCCGCGGUAAUACGUAGGUGGCAAGCGUUGUCCGGAUUUAUUUGGCGUAAAGCGAGCGCAGGCGGUUUCUUAAGUCUGAUGUGAAAGCCCCCGGCUCAACCGGGGAGGGUCAUUGGAAACUGGGAGACUUGAGUGCAGAAGAGGAGAGUGGAAUUCCAUGUGUAGCGGUGAAAUGCGUAGAUAUAUGGAGGAACACCAGUGGCGAAGGCGGCCCCCUGGACGAAGACUGACGCUCAGGUGCGAAAGCGUGGGGAGCAAACAGG
rnacentral:rRNA from 1 species